UGAACGCUGGCGGUAUGCUUAACACAUGCACGUCGAACGGACUCUUCGGAGUUAGUGGCGGACGGGUGAGUACCGCGUGAGAAUCUGGCUUUGGGUUCGGGACAACCACUGGAAACGGUGGCUAAUACCGGAUGUGCCGAGAGGUAAAAGAGAAAUUGCCUGAAGAUGAGCUCGCGUCUGAUUAGCUAGUUGGUGAGGUAAAGGCUCACCAAGGCAGCGAUCAGUAGCUGGUCUGAGAGGAUGACCAGCCACACUGGGACUGAGACACGGCCCAGACUCCUACGGGAGGCAGCAGUGGGGAAUUUUCCGCAAUGGGCGAAAGCCUGACGGAGCAAUACCGCGUGAGGGAAGAAGGCUCUUGGGUUGUAAACCUCUUUUCUUAGGGAAGAACAAAAUGACGGUACCUAAGGAAUCAGCAUCGGCUAACUCCGUG
rnacentral:rRNA from 1 species